rnacentral:misc_RNA from 1 species
CCAGAUGUCUUUACAGCAUUAGUAAUACCAGCAUAUAUUCUAUUAUACAGCCGAGGAACACUGCAAAAGAUAGUGGGUCUUAGAGCAGCCAUAUCAUCCAGUAGUUUCAUAUUAUCUCCCUGGUAGAAUCCAACAGCAACUCCAUAAUAUGCUGUCAUGACCUGGUUUGCCCGUUCAUAAAUGUGUGCCAAAGGCAGAUAUGAUAUGUAAACAUCUGAUGGGUAAAAUUUAGUAGCAAUACUGGCCCCAGCAACAUUUGCAAUCAAGUUUCCAUGGGUCAACGCGGCACCCUUUGGUGUCCCUGUUGUACCACUUGUAUAGCAAAUUGUAGCAACAUCCUCAGGUUUUGGCGGGCAAAAAGGCUGAGGAUUACUGCAGCCCUGACUAAGUAGUUUUGAAUAUGUUAUAACUUGAACUCCAGUUGAUGAUGGAAGAGAUGGCAUUUGAUCAUCCAUCCCUCCAACAACCACAAUCAGACGUACAGUUGAAAUUUCAGACAAGAAGCUCAACAAAGGGGUCAAUGUUUGGGGCACGCAAAAUAUAGCCCGCACAUCAGCAUGAUUUACAAUAUACUUGAC